CCCUGAGAGUUGAACGAGUUGGGAACUCAGAUGACUAUAUCGUAACACUCACAGUUACAAGUCAUGUACCUGUAUACUUAGUGGUUAAAGCCACACUCGAAGGCUCUGAUGAUGUAACUUUUCCUUAUGGUAAUUUUGUUUACACGGCCUGUCUGUGUCCUAACUGUUCAAAAAAUUUCUUCUGGGACAUACAAGGACCUGCAAAUGGGAUCCUAAUAGGGAAGGCUGAAGUCGUGUCAGAGGAAAAUAUAUGCCCUUCUGAUGUGGAAAUCUCCACCCCUGUUUACAAAGUUUGUAGCAAGCGUGAAAUCGUCGUAA